rnacentral:lncRNA from 8 species
AUGCACAAAAAGGUGGCAAAAAGCAUCUCCUCUGGACAUGUUGUCCUCUGUGGUGCAGCUCCUCUGGACAUGCUGUCCUCUGGUCAUGUUGUCCUCUGUGGUGCAGCUCCUCUGGACAUGUUGUCCUCUGUGGUGCAGCUCCUCUGGUCAUGUUGUCCUCUGUGGUGCAGCUCCUCUGGUCAUGUUGUCCUCUGGACAUGUUGUCCUCUGGUCAUGUUGUCCUCUGUGGUGCAGCUCCUCUGGUCAUGUUGUCCUCUGUGGUGCAGCUCCUCUGGUCAUGUUGUCCUCUGUGGUGCAGCUCCUCUGGUCAUGUUGUCCUCUGGUCAUGUUGUCCUCUGUGGUGCAGCUCCUCUGGACAUGUUGUCCUCUGGACAUGUUGUCCUCUGUGGUGCAGCUCCUCUGGUCAUGUUGUCCUCUGUGGUGCAGCUCCUCUGGUCAUGUUGUCCUCUGGACAUGUUGUCCUCUGUGGUGCAGCUCCUCUGGACAUGUUGUCCUCUGGUCAUGUUGUCCUCUGUGGUGCAGCUCCUCUGGACAUGUUGUCUUCUGGACAUGUUGUCCUCUGUGGUGCAGCUCCUCUGGACAUGUUGUCCUCUGGUCAUGUUGUCCUCUGCGGUGCAGCUCCUCUGGUCAUGUUGUCCUCUGGUCAUGUUGUCCUCUGGUCAUGUUGUCCUCUGUGGUGCAGCUCCUCUGGUCAUGUUGUCCUCUGUGGUGCAGCUCCUCUGGUCAUGUUGUCCUCUGUGGUGCAGCUCCUCUGGACAUGUUGUCCUCUGUGGUGCAGCUCCUCUGGUCAUGUUGUCCUCUGGACAUGUUGUCCUCUGUGGUGAUGUUGUUUUCUGCACCCUUCUCUUCUUCCCUUCUUUUCGGGUGGACCUCUGGGUUCGUUCAUUCAGUCGUUUAAAUACAGUCUCUCUCCACUCAACACCCCACUCACUCAGACUCCAGCAGAGAUACACCAGAGAGAGAGAGAUGCCCGGUCCAACACAUAACCAGAACAGGGGUCUCUGA